rfam:Schistosoma mansoni, Puerto Rico, WGS project CABG01000000 data, contig: 0071
AGCUUUUUGAAUCCGUGCUGAGAUUUCGUCAGACACCAACCCAUUAGAGCUGAUCAGACUUUCAAGAUAAGCGAAGUU